AAAACGACUCUCGGCAACGGAUAUCUCGACUCUUGCAUCGAUGAAGAACGUAGCGAAAUGCGAUACUUGGUGUGAAUUGCAGAAUCCCGUGAACCAUCGAGUCUUUGAACGCAAGUUGCGCCCAAAGCCAUUAGGCCGAGGGCACGCCUGCCUGGGUGUCACAC
rnacentral:rRNA from 1 species